UCUUAUGGUUGAGCAUGGAAAGUGGUUUCUUGAGACGGAAUCUAUUCCUGCUGAAUAUGCUGUGAA
rnacentral:pre_miRNA from 1 species